rnacentral:rRNA from 1 species
CUCCGCCGCCGCCCCCAUCAUCUCCUUCCUUCUCCCCGAUCCACUCCUUUUCGUCAUCCGCUCAUCGACCGCUCCGACGGUCUCUCCUUCCUCCACCCAAUCCCCACCUCCAGGCCACUCCCGUACUUCCUCCACUCGUAAUCCUAGUGGAAACCAUCACCCCUACACACCAUCGUCUACUAUCCCCUCCGCCCUAUCUUCACGAGGAUGGUUGAUCCGCAACAUGUGUUGCUGAUCUGCCUAGUUUGACGGCGGCGGCAGCCCGACUGAUGAGAUCCGCGUCUUGGGCGCGCGUAGAUCCAACAUGGGCUCAACCCCCAUUGUUGGCCUUGUUGGAGCGGAGCGACCGUGCGGUGGCCGGUCUAUGACAAUGGCUCACGGGAGGCCGUAGCCCUCGCCGCCACUGGAUUCUGGUUAGGUUCAUUUGCCUAAGCCGUUAGCCAUAACAGCCGUUUGUGGGCAUGGUGGUAAGCCUAAGGCUGGUGUGUGGCCUCCCUCUUCAAUCGAUUGCUUAAGCUUGGCUACUGCCUUCUCCAAAUCUUAGGGUGUGUGUGUCCAUGCUGACAUGGCGGCGACAGCGUCUAUCGAGGGCUACAACGUGUAUAUGAGUGAGAUGUGUGUGCGUGCAGUAGCCGGUGUGUUGUGUUUGUGGGUUUCCUCUGAAUCUUUAACACUGAAUUUUCUCUGUAUCUUUACACUGCAGGGUACCUAGUAGAGACAGGAGGCAGGUCGACCUCCUUGAUUAUGAUCUCUGUUUUUUCGGAUGUAGGUCUAUGUGGUGCCGUAAUUUUGCCGAGAUACCCUGCCUGCACUGUAAAGAUAUAGAGAAUUAAUUUAGUUUAAUUUUCUCUGAAUUUAUACGAGGCCUAGGUGGUCGGCCUGCCAUAGUUUGUUGUACACACUGCCGGUGGUGUACUAUUGCGGAGGUUGACCUGGCUUGUCUAAUACUAGUAGGCAGGUCGACCUGCCAUAGUUUCUUAUACACGCUGUAGUUCACUGAAUUAAACACGAGUUGAAGAAACUACAGUAGUUCAUCAACCAGCUGCACUGGGCUAUGUGGGCUUCUAUCAAGAUCUAAUUUAGUUUAAUUUUCUACCAAGAUCUAAUUCAGUUUAUAUUUUUUUGACAGUUUGAUGUGUCUCUGUUCUGUAAAUCAAUAUAAUUAAAUGUUCUAUAUGCAUUCAGUUUAGUUUUCUAUCAAAAUAUAAUUCAGUAUGUAUCAAUGUAAUCAGGUGGUGAAUAAUUUCAUCAAAUAGGAGACAUAAUUUCUGUUAGUGUAUUAAUAUGGCGACAUGUUCUAUUUAGAGGUUUCUCCAUACACUUCUGUCCAUAUUGUCAACUGCAGCUCAUUGAAUAUAUAUAACCAGAAUUAAGUUUAAUCUGAAUCUAAGAAGAAAAUUAUGUUGGUACAGUGGCAGUCCUAUAUCUGUACUGCAGAGGUUUAAACUUGUUCAUUUGUGUACUAAGCACAUGUAGUACUGCUACUAUUAGUUGUGCGCCUACUAGUACUAGAACCAAUGCAUGUAAGUUCACUCUCCCUCAACCUGGAGGCACGCACCAAGCUAGCAGUUGCCAACAUAGUGACACAUAUUUCUUCAACUCAUGUGCUCCCUGCCAGGUCGACCUCCAUAGUAGUUUUGCCGACAAGUAAGGAUUGAUGUCUACUCUCUGAUCCUAAAUCUUUUCCUUGAUGUUUUCCCAUCUUUUUUAUGAUCAAUUAACACUGUAAUCUCCUUGAUUAUGAUUUCUGUUUUUCAGGAUGUACGUAGGUCUAGGCGGUGCCAUAGUAGCUGUGCCGCUGCAUGGCGCAAAAUAGAGCUCGAGAGGGCGGCCAUGAUAACUGUGGUGGAGCUGCUCUGUGAUCAUCCAGGGGCUUGCUCUACUGCCACUCCUAUGAUUUCUCCGGUAUGAUUGGGUAGCAGGCUUCUUGGUGCUGGCCAUCACAAUCCGCCAUGACAUGAUACUUACCAUUAGGAGGGCUGAUGACAAGAACCUGAAUAACAAGCUCAAUAGUAUCAUAUGUUCUGUUGUUGUAAAUUGGAUUGUAUUGGUUCCUAACCUUGUUGUGUGAUAUAUUUUGGCAAUAUAUUUUGUAAAUUAUCAUUUCAUGGAGGAUUUUGUAAGUUGAUGUGGUAUAUAUAAAAAUGGAUGGAUGCAUAUUGAAUAUUUGUGUAAUAUAUGAUCAUUCUUUGGAAAUACUUGGUCUUG